UGCCCUUCUUGGCCUUUUGGCUAAGAUCAAGUGGAGUAUCAAGUGCAAGAACAAAGUACUUGACAAAAAAACUAAGUUGCCUUUUUUGAAACUCCUUUAUCUGUUCCUUUUUAAGAAGUCAGAGCCAAGGACUUGAGAAACACCUCAAGCAUUUGUCUUUUUUUUUGCAGGAGGCCUGGGUUUGUUUCUCAAUACCACA